UACAGAGGAGCCAAGCGUUGUCCGGAUUGACUGGGCGUAAAGCGCACGCAGGCGGUCGGGCGCGUGGGGGGUGAAAUCUGGCCGCUUAACGGCCAGGCGCCAUCCCAUACGGCUCGACUGGAGUGAUGCAGAGGUCGAUGGAAUUGCCGGUGUAGUGGUGAAGUGCGUAGAUAUCGGGAGGAACACCAGUGGCGAAGGCGGGCACCUGGGCUAACACUGACGCUGAUGCGCGAAAGCUAGGGGAGCAAACAGG
rnacentral:rRNA from 1 species